UUACAGGCUUAAUGAGAAGUAUUAUUAUUUGCACAUGCUUAGCGAUAAGCAUUAAACCAAAGAUUUCAGGUUCAGGUUCCAGAUAUUAAUGGUUUAUCUCCUCAUCAAGCUAAUCACGGUCUUGCCCAGUGGAUCCCCUUCCACUGGGCGUUUUUUU
rnacentral:sRNA from 1 species